rnacentral:rRNA from 1 species
AUGGUGGACCAGUUCCUGAUGGCCCUUGAUGUCUUCUCUAAGAUCGCGAUCUCUGUGGGCAAGCUCAUGGUCGAUCCUUCCAUGGUUCCGCUCACAACCGGUUUGAUUGCAUGUUCUGGAAGUGAUGACGGCGUAUCGUCCCAUGUGUCGUCGACAAACCAGUGCUCUCCAGUUCAUUGGGAACCACCUUGGCCACUACCAUCUCAAGGUAUAUUUGAGAAGCUAUUCCUGAGCCAACCAUAUGGAAAUCUCAAUUACUAUGCUACCAGAAUUACCUUGAGUACAUCUAGUUCCUCUGGUUACCAUUAUUUGCAUGUGGAGUUUGGAAACUUUAGUUUUGAGUUACUUUCUGCUGAUGAGUGCUGGAAGUAUUGGAAAUAUGAGCCUGGGUAUGGUUGUGCUUCAAUGGAAGAAUCAAAUGCCGAAUUAAUGGAAGGCUUAGUUUCUUCUGCCGAUCCUUGUGAGCAGGACCACUCCAUUAUAACUGUUGAAAAUCUGCUGGGUACUCCUUAUUGGGUUUGUUCUCUGCGAUUUUUUAAGUCUGUUAUGCACUUGAGAGUAUCCUGCAGUUUUUGGCCACUUAUGCAGCAGUUCAGUGACAAUGGAUGGCUCUCAUUUGAAGUUGAAAUAUCUGUGAGCGACAUGGUGCUUUUGCCAAAGGACACAAUUCAGUUGCAAUCUUGGCCACCACCUUCGACAUAUUCACUUGGUUGUGCAAUCUGA